GGCUCAGGAUGAACGCUGGCGGCGUGCUUAACACAUGCAAGUCGAACGAAGCACUUUAUUACGAUUUCUUCGGAAUGACGAUUUGGUGACUGAGUGGCGGACGGGUGAGUAACGCGUGGGUAACCUGCCUUAUACAGGGGGAUAACAGUUGGAAACGGCUGCUAAUACCGCAUAAGCGCACAGGGUCGCAUGACCUGGUGUGAAAAACUCCGGUGGUAUGAGAUGGACCCGCGUUGGAUUAGCUGGUUGGUGAGGUAACGGCUCACCAAGGCGACGAUCCAUAGCCGACCUGAGAGGGUGACCGGCCACAUUGGGACUGAGACACGGCCCAAACUCCUACGGGAGGCAGCAGUGGGGAAUAUUGCACAAUGGGCGAAAGCCUGAUGCAGCGACGCCGCGUGAGCGAAGAAGUAUUUCGGUAUGUAAAGCUCUAUCAGCAGGGAAGAUAAUGACGGUACCUGACUAAGAAGCACCGGCUAAAUACGUG
rnacentral:rRNA from 1 species